GACCUAAACCGUCAGUACUGGUGGCAUGGUCGACGAGUCGCGUAGCGCAUAGACAACCCGUCAUGGGGUCUGCGUUACGCGCCUUGUGGGGAAACCUGCACGAGAGGCUUCGGUCUCU
rnacentral:sRNA from 12 species